rnacentral:tRNA from 1 species
CCCACCAUAGUUUAUAUAAAACCUCGACCUGCAAAAUCGAAGAUGGAGAAGUCUCCUGGUGUGU